rnacentral:rRNA from 1 species
GACGAACGCUGGCGGCGUGCCUAAUACAUGCAAGUAGGACGCAGUUGCGAACGGGUGAGUAACGCGUAGGUAACUACCUAUUAGAGGGGGAUAACUAUUGGAAACGAUAGCUAAUACCGCAUACUAGUAGAUGGACCUGCGUUGUAUUUGCUAGUAGGUAGGGUAAUGGCCUACCUAGGCAACGAUACAUAGCCGAGCUGGGGGGGUGGUCGGCCAACAUGGGAAUGGGGAAAGGCCCAGACUCCUACGGGGGGCAGCAGUAGGGAAUCUUCGGCAAAGGGGGGAACGCUGGCCGAGCAACGCCGGGUGAGUGAAGAAGGUUUUCGGAUCGUAAAGCUCUGUUGUUAAGGAAGCGGUACUUAACCAGAAAGGGACGGCUAACUAUGUGCCAGCAGCCGCGGUAAUUC